AUCCUUUUGUAGUUCAUAAGCGUGAUGAAAGGGUGUUGACAAGCAUGCGUGAGAUGUGCCCCCCCAAACCCUGUUACGACGUCGACACAUUACCCAUCUGAUG